AGCCCCCUGCGCUCCACUCGAAGCAUUUCGCAGGAAACACCCUAUUCUAUGGACUAUAUGCGCAAAAGCCCUGCCGUGUCUUCUUCUCCACACCUCUCCCUGGUUCUGUUCCGUUGGCUUGUUCGCCCCCAAAACUCAAACCAUGACGAGCUAGGGUUUUACAUGAGGCAACAGCUCUGCAGCAGCUCCAAUCCUCCACUCGAAAUACCCUUCUGUUGAAGAUUGUGGGUCAGCACGGGGACGACGGGUGGCCGGAGGGACUUGGGACAGCAACGGUGGCGACUCCGGCGGCGGCUUCAGUGCCACUAAGCUCACGAUUGAUGCCUCCCCAAUAUUGAUUUGCUCCCAGGUUUGCUUCACGAGUGGCUUCAUCAUCCUAGAGUGCGCUCUCUGAUACAGAAUCAAUAAUGCAAAUGGAAGCCACUUUGGGUGUGGGAUGUACAACACCACAAAAAUCACAGAGUGUACCAUUCAAUGUAAGAAAAUGCCAGCAUGAAGAUUGCAAUACAAAAUAUUUUCCUAACAUCAGUCCAUAGGCUAUGCAUGUGGCACAUGCUGCAGAAGGUUCCUGAAAAGGUUGGUCCUGACCUCAAGGAGGAUGAUGAUUUCCAUGCUUCUCUUAGUUUAUGUGUGUGGUCAUCCGAAACUCCAGAAGAAUUUGAGGAUCGGUGGGCAAGAAUUAUUAUACAAUAUGGAUUGAAAGACCAUGAGUGGUUUGCUGGGAGGUUUGAUAUCAGAUCAUCAUGGGUACCAGCUUACUUUAGAGAUAUUCCUUUGUCAGGGCUUUUGAGGACCACUUCUAGGUCGGAAAGUGCCAAUUCUUACUUCUCUCGAUUCAUUGGGUUUAAGCAUGCUUUGGUUGAGUUUUGGCUCAGGUUUGAUACUGCCUUGGAAGAUCAAUGGCAUAAGGAGCUAGAAGCUGAUAAUGUGAUGGGGACUUGCAAACCAUGAGAGUAGUUGAUAAUUCCAAAAAAGUAAGGCUGGUACAGCUCAAUAGAUCCACAAUGUUUGCUUCCUGCUCAUGCAUGCUCUUUGGAACGCACGGCAUACCAUGCCGGCAUAUUAUCCAUGCCCUUAGAAGUGCCAAGAUCGAUGAACUCCCAACCAUGUAUGUACUGAAAAGGUUCAGGAAGGACUGCAAGAGAGAAUUUGUAUUGAGUCCAGAAGGUAUCUUGUUGGAGGAAAGGGCCAAUAGUCCGGUGAACCCAGUGCUACAAAAAUUAAUUUCAGAGACAUCCAAUAGGAUAGAGUCUCUGUUUGUUCAAGCUAAGAAUUCACCUGAUGCUAUGCAAAUUUUAAGGGAUGGUGUAUUUGCACUUGGGGAUAGAAUAACUGAUAUGAUUCCAGCCAAAGAACUAAGCAGAAUUGAAGAGUUUGAAGACUUUUUAGGAUGUCCAGUUCCAAUGCAAGUUGAAAUUCAUCCCCCCACUGAUAUCCGCUCAAAGGGAAGGAUCAAACGAAUCAAGGGACAUGCUGACAAGGGGCGGCAACAAAAUAAGAAUGAGCAAAAAAAGAAGAAUGUGUUACAGCCACGAAGGUGCAGCACAUGCAAGAAGGUCGGAUUGCAUGAUCGUAGAACUUGUCCGGAGAAAGCAAAUAACCAAUGAGCUAGGUUCAUCUUUUCAUUCUUAACCAAUCACUCUAUUAUUAAGUACUUCAUACAUUAGCACUUGCUGGUAAUGUGAAACUCUGCCUGCAGACUUACAGUUAGAGGGAGCAAGGUAGUUUUGGAUGCUGCAAUGUGAAAAAGGAGUGCUACUAUGAAGCUGUCUUGAUGUUGCAUUGCUAGUACUAGUACACUAAAUAAAAGCACCUCAUGCAAGACAAAUUUGUAUGAUUGUAUAUUGCUCAUCGCAGACAUUUAAUGUAAUUAAGAUUUGAUGUACUACAAAAAUACCAUUUAGUUGUGACCUUGAGCAAUAGCAAUACUCCAUGGCUUCCAGGUUCA